GUGGGUAGUUUGACUGGGGCGGUCUCCUCCUAAAGAGUAACGGAGGAGCACGAAGGUUAGCUAAUCCUGGUCGGACAUCAGGAGGUUAGUGCAAAGGCAUAAGCUAGCUUGACUGCGAGAGUGACGGCUCGAGCAGGUGCGAAAGCAGGUCUUAGUGAUCCGGUGGUUCUGAAUGGAAGGGCCAUCGCUCAACGGAUAAAAGGUACUCCGGGGAUAACAGGCUGAUACCGCCCAAGAGUUCAUAUCGACGGCGGUGUUUGGCACCUCGAUGUCGGCUCAUCACAUCCUGGGGCUGAAGUAGGUCCCAAGGGUAUGGCUGUUCGCCAUUUAAAGUGGUACGCGAGCUGGGUUUAGAACGUCGUGAGACAGUUCGGUCCCUAUCUGCCGUGGGCGCUGGAGAAUUGAGGGGGGCUGCUCCUAGUACGAGAGGACCGGAGUGGACGCAUCACUGGUGUUCGGGUUGUCAUGCCAAUGGCAUUGCCCGGUAGCUAAAUGCGGAAGAGAUAAGUGCUGAAAGCAUCUAAGCACGAAACUUGCC
rnacentral:rRNA from 1 species